rnacentral:rRNA from 1 species
ACGCUCGACACUACGGGAGUCAGCAGUGGGGAAUAUUGCGCAAUGGGGGCAACCCUGACGCAGCAACGCCGCGUGAUUGAAGAAGGCCUGGUUGUAAGAUCUUUAAUCAGGGACGAAAAAUAGACGGUACCUGAAGAAUAAGCUCCGGCUAACUACGUGCCAGCACGCCGCGGUAAUCUGAGGCGGGCGUGGCGAAGGC